rnacentral:misc_RNA from 1 species
AAGAAAAACCAAGCACCCCAAAUACUAUCAACCCGUUUGGCGCAUUUCCUUCCAACCUUGGGGACAUUAAGGAAACUCUCAGUCUCAUAAACCUUCUGACCAAGUCCAACAUCUAAUAUAUCACAUGGUUCUGAAUUCCACGACUGUGGUGGAGGACUACGCUCGGCAGACAGGGGUAAAUUGAUAUCAGGUGGACGGGAAAGUAUGAUUUGACAAUUCAUCUCCAAAUCCAAUUCUUCGUGAG